UACGUAGGGGGCAAGCGUUAUCCGGAUUUACUGGGUGUAAAGGGAGCGUAGACGGCUUUGCAAGCCAGAUGUGAAAGCCCGGGGCUCAACCCCGGGACUGCAUUUGGAACUGUAUGGCUGGAGUGUCGGAGAGGCAGGCGGAAUUCCUAGUGUAGCGGCGAAAUGCGUAGAUAUUAGGAGGAACACCAGUGGCGAAGGCGGCCUGCUGGACGAUGACUGACGUUGAGGCUCGAAAGCGUGGGGAGCAAACAGG
rnacentral:rRNA from 1 species